rnacentral:rRNA from 1 species
AACGCCGGACAUCUCGGCAGCAUCGACAAUGUGCAGUGACGGUCAGUAUGAUGAGCUUACCUGAGCCAGUGAGAGGAGGUGCAUAGCCGCCGUCAGCUCGUACCGUGAGGCGUCCUGUUAAGUCAGGCAACGAGCGAGACCCGCACCCUUAAUUGCCAGCGGCACCCUUGUGGUGGCUGGGUACAUUAAGAGGACUGCCAGUGCCAAACUGGAGGAAGGAACGGGCAACGGUAGGUCAGUAUGCCCCGCCCUGCUGGGCGACACGCGGGCUACAAUGGCCAAGACAGUGGGAUGCAACGCCGAAAGGCGACGCUAAUCUCCGAAACUUGGUCGUAGUUCGGAUUGAGGGCUGAAACUCGCCCUCAUGAAGCUGGAUUCGGUAGUAAUCGCGCCUCAGAAGGGCGCGGUGAAUACGUCCC